rnacentral:rRNA from 1 species
GUGUCAGCAGCCGCGGUAAUACAGAGGGUGCAAGCGUUGUUCGGAAUUAUUGGGCGUAAAGCGCGUGUAGGCGGCUUUGCAAGUCGGGUGUGAAAGCCCUCAGCUCAACUGAGGAAGUGCGCCCGAAACUGCAGAGCUUGAGUACCGGAGAGGAUGGCGGAAUUCCCCAAGUAGAGGUGAAAUUCGUAGAUAUGGGGAGGAACACCGGUGGCGAAGGCGGCCAUCUGGACGGAUACUGACGCUGAGACGCGAAAGCGUGGGUAGCAAACAGGAUUAGAUACCCUGGUAGUCCACGCCGUAAACGAUGAGAACUAGGUGUCGCGGGUGUUGACCCCUGCGGUGCCGAAGCUAACGCAUUAAGUUCUCCGCCUGGGAAGUACGGCCGCAAGGCUAAA